rnacentral:rRNA from 1 species
UACGGGGGGAGCAAGCGUUGUUCGGAUUUACUGGGCGUAAAGGGCGCGUAGGCGGCCUGUGCAAGUCAGUUGUGAAAUCUCCGGGCUUAACUUGGAACGGUCAACUGAUACUGCUCGGCUAGAGUGCGGAAGGGGCAACUGGAAUUCUUGGUGUAGCGGUGAAAUGCGUAGAUAUUGGGAAGAACACCAGUGGCGAAGGCGGCUAACUGGUCCGGAUCUGACGCUGAGGUGCGAAAGCGUGGGGAGCAAACAGG